UUCCGCAAUGGUUUCUACCCUUUUACGCCGUUGCGACGAAUUUUCCGUCCCCUUGCUCCUCUGAAGAACUCUCGCGCUCGUCGAAUCACAGAGCUCAGUAGCCUCCAUUAAUGGCGGAAACGAAGCUCCGGAAUUCCCCGAACCACCUCCGAGUGGGCGGAAGAAGUCGACUACGGGGACGACCCCCCGUCCCCAUCUCACCUGAAAAAGAUCUCCCAAUCCAACAAUGGCUCAACGUAGUAAAACGUAUGCUAAUAACAAAGAAGAUGAGAAGGACAAGCAAAUAAGAAUGGUCCGAUUAAUCAACCAAGGCUACAACUUUGGACCCAAUACGCUUCAGUUGCUACUUCCGCGGCAAGGUCGCGCCUUUCCUCUUUCUCCUUUUUGUUUCUCUCUUUUCGCCCCCAUCAAAUAUUUAUGACUAGAGGCUUUGGUGCUGUUGUAGUGGUGGUUGCAAUUGGGAAUACCAUUUUUGUCUGUUCCUAAACAUUAUCGCAGUACUCGAUAUAAUUUCACAGCAAAUUUGGGGCAUCACACUGAAAAGGUACCAUGGCUAUGUUGAAGGACUUGAUCAUGAAUUUUGUGGUGCAGGGCGUGGUUCACGCACUGACUUUUCGAUGCGAACGGUCGGCCAAAGGCUCUGUUUGCAGGUGUUAUUAGCUAUUAUUCCUAUGAAUGUGACAAAAUGAGAGGAUCUGAUUGUACCGCGAAAUGUUCCCAUCCUUUGCUCGACUCUUUUUAGGCCAACAACUGUGGUUUUCUAACACGGACUACUCGCUUCAAUUCCUGCUGUACAUACCAUGUGAAUAUUGGAAAAGUUAUUUGCCUUUAACUGCGUCUUUAAAGAGUUGUUAUAAA